UUGCAGCCCAGGUCUCAUAGUCUUACUGUGAAGUAGGCAGUUAUUCUUCAUUUCUGUGUACUCCAAGUCUGUGAUGAUGUGUGUUAGCCUCUUAAAGCAAAAAUGUCUCAAAGUUCAGGAGAAAACUGGGGCUCAAAGAGCCCAACUGCUGCUUCAGGAUGAAGAUGAGCAGGGCAGUGAGAAUGUGGCCAAGCUAUGUCAUCAGAAGUAAGGACAGCCCCCUGGAAGCACAGCCUCCACUCUUGGGACAUGCCAAGAGAUCCCACCAGUUCCAGCAGCAGGGAACCAGCAGCCUCAAACUGGGCUGGAAAACCUUUUUUUGAGUUACUUAACCAUUCUUCUGUAAAGCAGUCGUUGCUUCUCUUUGCCAUACAAAUGUUCCUGCAUGUGUUUGUGAUGGUAGAGUCAGUCGUUUUUGGAGAAAGAUGGAAGUGUGAUCUCAGAAGCUGGGCUCAGUUACCUGGGUAGUUUUCUUGGCUUCCAUGAAUGUGUCCAGAAGCUGGUGAGCUUGGGAAAGAUUUUUUUUGUGUGCUUGGGUAAGGCAGUUUUUAAAUGUCAAAGUUGAAAGUACUUUUCCUUAGCAAAAAAAAAUCGGCAGCAAGCUGUUCAGUACUGGCUGAGCAGGCAACCAUCUGAGCAGCUGGGCUGACUGCAUGGCAUUCUGCAGGAGAUUUUCAGGGUUUUGAAGGCAGACCCAUCUCCAUGUCGUAUCUCCUUUGAGAUACAACAGCCUUUGAGCUGUUUGUGUCAGAACUGUUUGCUUACUUAAUUUUAAAACGGUCACAUCCACAUAGACAGAGGGAUUGCCACAUCAUGAUACUCUGGAAGUGUCCUUUGGCACUUGAUUUACAGCAGCUAAAUAGCAAGGGGGUCAGUGGCCAGCUGGCCACCAAAGCAGGAAACCGGAUGACAACGAGAAUAAAUAGUGUUUCAUGGAGCUGGAGUAUCUGACAGUGCUAGAAGCUGGAAGGACAGAUCAGCAUCCAGGAUAUUUGCUGUGGGACAGGUUCUCAGAUGGCUGCUGAGCUGCGUGCCAGCAGGGGUGGCAGUGGGAGCAAACAGCACAUGCGUUCGUAUCCCUCCCCACACACAUCCACGGGCCCUGCAGAAGCGUUGCAUUGCACAGGCAGAUGAGGAUUUCUGUUGAGGAUGGGAGGAGUGACUGAUGGAGUUUUACAGAAGGGGCGUUUCUGCAGGUUUCCAAAGAAUGAGAAACAGCCAUCCUUGGACAAAUCUCUGGGAGAAGCAGCGUUUGGGAAAUCCCCAGGGUUGGUAGCCGAAGUGAUGGAUGUGAUCAGAGUCUUGGUGGGAAAAUCAACAGCACUGUACUGCUGGAGAACUCAGCUGAACUGUAAUGAAGAACUGUCCCUUCUAGAGCCUGCACGGCGAUGAACGGACGCAUCAGCUGUUUGAAGAGUUUGCCUUCUGCAAAGAGAUCUGCAAAUUCACACUGUUGGGGCUGGGUAUGGCUCUGGUAAUGGGAGCUGUGAGAGCAAGCUGUGUUUCCCUGGGAGAUGGACACCUGUCAUUUUCACAGGGCAGAAGUAUGCAGGCUUAUGGCACAGAAUACAACAUUAAAAAACCUGUUCUCUG